rnacentral:rRNA from 1 species
GUGACUGCGUACCUUUUGUAUAAUGGGUCAGCGACUUAUAUUCUGUAGCAAGGUUAACCGAAUAGGGGAGCCGGAGGGAAACCGAGUCUUAAUUGGGCGUUAAGUUGCAGGGUAUAGACCCGAAACCCGGUGAUCUAGCCAUGGGCAGGUUGAAGGUUGGGUAACACUAACUGGAGGACCGAACCGACUAAUGUUGAAAAAUUAGCGGAUGACCUGUGGCUGGGGGUGAAAGGCCAAUCAAACCGGGAGAUAGCUGGUUCUCCCCGAAAGCUAUUUAGGUAGCGCCUCGUGAAUUCAUCUCCGGGGGUAGAGCACUGUUUCGGCUAGGGGGCCAUCCCGGCUUACCAACCCGAUGCAAACUGCGAAUACCGGAGAAUGUUAUCACGGGAGACACACGGCGGGUGCUAACGUCCGUCGUGAAGAGGGAAACAACCCAGACCGCCAGCUAAGGUCCCAAAGUCAUGGUUAAGUGGGAAACGAUGUGGGAAGGCCCAGACAGCCAGGAUGUUGGCUUAGAAGCAGCCAUCAUUUAAAGAAAGCGUAAUAGCUCACUGGUCGAGUCGGCCUGCGCGGAAGAUGUAACGGGGCUAAACCAUGCACCGAAGCUGCGGCAGCGACACUCAGGUGUUGUUGGGUAGGGGAGCGUUCUGUAAGCCUGUGAAGGUGGCCUGUGAGGGUUGCUGGAGGUAUCAGAAGUGCGAAUGCUGACAUAAGUAACGAUAAAGCGGGUGAAAAGCCCGCUCGCCGGAAGACCAAGGGUUCCUGUCCAACGUUAAUCGGGGCAGGGUGAGUCGACCCCUAAGGCGAGGCCGAAAGGCGUAGUCGAUGGGAAACGGGUUAAUAUUCCCGUACUUGGUGUUACUGCGAAGGGGGGACGGAGAAGGCUAUGUUGGCCGGGCGACGGUUGUCCCGGUUUAAGCGUGUAGGCUGGUUUUCCAGGCAAAUCCGGAAAAUCAAGGCUGAGGCGUGAUGACGAGGCACUACGGUGCUGAAGCAACAAAUGCCCUGCUUCCAGGAAAAGCCUCUAAGCAUCAGGUAACAUCAAAUCGUACCCCAAACCGACACAGGUGGUCAGGUAGAGAAUACCAAGGCGCUUGA